UUGAGCGAUUUACUUCGGUAAAGAGCGGCGGACGGGUGAGUAACGCGUGGGUAACCUACCCUGUACACACGGAUAACAUACCGAAAGGUAUGCUAAUACGGGAUAAUAUAUUUGAGAGGCAUCUCUUAAAUAUCAAAGGUGAGCCAGUACAGGAUGGACCCGCGUCUGAUUAGCGAGUUGGUAAGGUAACGGCUUACCAAGGCGACGAUCAGUAGCCGACCUG
rnacentral:rRNA from 1 species